AGCGAACGCUGGCGGCAGGCCUAACACAUGCAAGUCGAACGGAUCCUUCGGGAUUAGUGGCGGACGGGUGAGUAACACGUGGGAACGUGCCCUUUGGUUCGGAACAACUCAGGGAAACUUGAGCUAAUACCGGAUGUGCCCUUCGGGGGAAAGAUUUAUCGCCAUUGGAGCGGCCCGCGUCUGAUUAGCUAGUUGGUGAGGUAACGGCCCACCAAGGCGACGAUCAGUAGCUGGUCUGAGAGGAUGAUCAGCCACACUGGGACUGAGACACGGCCCAGACUCCUACGGGAGGCAGCAGUGGGGAAUCUUGCGCAAUGGGCGAAAGCCUGACGCAGCCAUGCCGCGUGAAUGAUGAAGGUCUUAGGAUAGUAAAAUUCUUUCAGCGGGGACGAUAAUGACGGUACCCGCAGAAGAAGCUCCGGCUAACUUCGUG
rnacentral:rRNA from 1 species